UGGGGAAUAUUGCACAAUGGGGGAAACCCUGAUGCAGCGACGCCGCGUGGAGGAAGAAGGUCUUCGGAUUGUAAACUCCUGUUGUUGAGGAAGAUAAUGACGGUACUCAACAAGGAAGUGACGGCUAACUACGUGCCAGCAGCCGCGGUAAAACGUAGGUCACAAGCGUUGUCCGGAAUUACUGGGUGUAAAGGGAGCGCAGGCGGGAAGACAAGUUGGAAGUGAAAUCCAUGGGCUCAACCCAUGAACUGCUUUCAAAACUGUUUUUCUUGAGUAGUGCAGAGGUAGGCGGAAUUCCCGGUGUAGCGGUGGAAUGCGUAGAUAUCGGGAGGAACACCAGUGGCGAAGGCGGCCUACUGGGCACCAACUGACGCUGAGGCUCGAAAGUGUGGGUAGCAAACAGGAUUAGAUACCCUGGUAGUCCACACCGUAAACGAUGAUUACUAGGUGUUGGAGGAUUGACCCCUUCAGUGCCGCAGUUAACACAAUAAGUAAUCCACCUGGGGAGUACGACCGCAAGGUUGAAACUCAAAGGAAUUGACGGGGGCCCGCACAAGCAGUGGAGUAUGUGGUUUAAUUCGACGCAACGCGAAGAACCUUACCAAGUCUUGACAUCCCUUGACGAUGCUGGAAACAGCAUUUCUCUUCGGAGCAAGGAGACAGGUGGUGCAUGGUUGUCGUCAGCUCGUGUCGUGAGAUGUUGGGUUAAGUCCCGCAACGAGCGCAACCCUUAUGGUCAGUUACUACGCAAGAGGACUCUGGCCGGACUGCCGUUGACAAAACGGAGGAAGGUGGGGAUGACGUCAAAUCAUCAUGCCCUUUAUGACUUGGGCUACACACGUACUACAAUGGCGUUAAACAAAGAGAAGCAAGACCGCGAGGUGGAGCAAAACUCAGAAACAACGUCCCAGUUCGGACUGCAGGCUGCAACUCGCCUGCACGAAGUCGGAAUUGCUAGUAAUCGUGGAUCAGCAUGCCACGGUGAAUACGUUCCC
rnacentral:rRNA from 1 species